rnacentral:tRNA from 1 species
CAUUAGAUAACUAAAUUAAUAAGUAUUGGCCUCUUAAGCCGCUAAUAGUAUAACUACUUCUAAUGA